GAGUGCGAUCAUAACAGCACUAAUGCACCGGAUCCCAUCAGAACUCCGCAGUUUAAGCGUGCUUGGACGAGAGUAGUACUAGGAUGGGUGACUUGGUGAGAAGACCUCGUGUUGCACCCC
rnacentral:rRNA from 1 species